CCUACGGGAGGCAGCAGUGAGGAAUAUUGGUCAAUGGACGCAAGUCUGAACCAGCCAUGCCGCGUGCAGGAAGACGGCUCUAUGAGUUGUAAACUGCUUUUGUACGAGGGUAAACGCAGAUACGCGUAUCUGUCUGAAAGUAUCGUACGAAUAAGGAUCGGCUAACGCCGGGCCAGCAGCCGCUGUUAUACGGAGGAUUCAAGCGUUAUCCGGAUUUAUUUGGUUUAAAGGGUGAGUAGGCGGUCGGAUAAGUUAGAGGUGAAAUCCCGAGGCUCAACUUCGGAAUUGCCUCUGAUACUGUUCGGCUAGAGAGUAGUUGCGGUAGGCGGAAUGUAUGGUGUAGCGGUGAAAUGCUUAGAGAUCAUACAGAACACCGAUUGCGAAGGAAGCUUACCAAGCUACUUCUGACGUUGAGGCACGAAAGCGUGGGGAGCAAACAGGAUUAGAUACCCUUGUAGUC
rnacentral:rRNA from 1 species